GGGGGGGGGGGGGGGGGGGGGGGGGGCGGGGGGGGUGGGCGGGGGGGACGGGGGCCGGCGCCUAUUUGAGGGGCGUCGGACGGGUGAGUGACGCGGGGGCAGUCUGCCUUUGAGCGGGGGUCAACACCUGGAUACGACUGCUACUACCGCACACUACCUUUACACCUAAGUUGUACGCUUUAAAGAUCCAAUUCCCUCCCUCAACCAUGAUCCUGCGUUGUAUUAGCUAGUUGGUGAGGUAAAGGCUCACCAAGGCGAUGAUACAUAGCCGACCUGAGAGGGUGAUCGGCCACAUUGGGACUGAGACACGGCCCAAACUCCUACGGGAGGCAGCAGUAGGGAAUCUUCGGCAAUGGACGAAAGUCUGACCGAGCAACGCCGCGUGAGUGAAGAAGGUUUUCGGAUCGUAAAACUCUGUUGGUAGAGAAGAACGUUGGUGAGAGUGGAAAGCUCAUCAAGUGACGGUAACUACCCAGAAAGGGACGGCUAACUACGUG
rnacentral:rRNA from 1 species